UUGGCAAUAAUGUCACAUGUCAUCUUUUUUUUUCGCUGAUGUGGACGCUCUAUGGAGUCUCAAAAUAUUACUUAUUAUAUUUCCAUGCUUUUAUAUGAGAUAAUAAUAUUAUCAUAUAUGUUUAAUGUAAUAUUGAUAUUUCUUAUAUUGUAUGCUUGUUUUGUUAUAUUUUAUAUUUAUUAUUAUUAUUUUUAUGUAGUAUAAUUACUUAUUCUAAUUGUUUUGAUUUUAUAUCAAAAUUGUAAUAUUACGAUAGAUGUUGAAUGUAAUAUUUAUAUUUCUCAUAUUGUAUAUUUACUUAUUAUUUAUUUUAUCAUAUAUUUUCAGAUUAAUUUUAAUGUAGUUUUUCUAUUUUUAUAUGUGUGUAUUUACUUAUUAAUUAAUUUUCCUUAUAUGUAUACUUAAUUUUAAUUAUUUUUUAUUUAUAUGGUAAUAAUGGCACAUGUCAUCUUUCGAAGAAGUUUUUUGCUGUUGUGAAAAUUUUCUGAAAGCACAAUAAAUUCAUCUAACCUACAUGACAAAACGUGAUCUUUAAUUAUGGAGUAUAUCAUGACAAUGAAAUCUAUUCGUAUUCGUAUUUUUGUCAAAAAAAAAAAAGAAAAGAAAUCUAUUCGUAUUAUAUCUAAGAUUACUAAAACUAUUCAAGUUAAUAUUAUUAUGGCAAGUAUCAGUUAUAAAAAGAUAUGCUGCGAUUUUUUAUCAAAUAAUUCUUAUCUUUACUUAAAAACUAAUAAAUAAAAUUAAUAUAAUUUUAUUCGGAUACAAAAAUAUUUAACGAAA
rnacentral:lncRNA from 1 species